AACGCGUGGGAAUCUGCCCUUGGGUACGGAAUAACUCAGAGAAAUUUGUGCUAAUACCGUAUAAUGUCUUCGGACCAAAGAUUUAUCGCCCAAGGAUGAGCCCGCGUAAGAUUAGCUAGUUGGUGGGGUAAAGGCCUACCAAGGCUACGAUCUUUAGCUGGUCUGAGAGGAUGAUCAGCCACACUGGGACUGAGACACGGCCCAGACUCCUACGGGAGGCAGCAGUGGGGAAUAUUGGACAAUGGGCGAAAGCCUGAUCCAGCAAUGCCGCGUGAGUGAUGAAGGCCUUAGGGUUGUAAAGCUCUUUUACCAGGGAUGAUAAUGACAGUACCUGGAGAAUAAGCUCCGGCUAACUCCGUGCCAGCAGCCGCGGUAAUACGGAGGGAGCUAGCGUUGUUCGGAAUUACUGGGCGUAAAGCGCGCGUAGGCGGUUUUUUAAGUCAGAGGUGAAAGCCCAGUGCUCAACACUGAAACUGCCUUUGAAACUGGAAAACUUGAAUCUUGGAGAGGUCAGUGGAAUUCCGAGUGUAGAGGUGAAAUUCGUAGAUAUUCGGAAG
rnacentral:rRNA from 1 species